UUGUGGUACCCCCUUGGUUCUUUGUGCUAGACUUCUCAGGCACUUUUUCCUGAGUGUGUACAGCUUGGUUUUUAUCCAGACUCAUGAUGGGCCCAUGCGUAUUUCUGGAAAUCUUUCAUUGUUUAACUUCUCUUGACCUAAACCUCCCGAUUGCCUCAGUGACAUCACACACGGGUAUUUUUCAGUGACAUCACACACGGGUAUUGUCUGCUUCACCAUUGGUAAUGAGGCGGCUGAAUGCUCUUUUGACCCUGUUUCCAAGUGCUGCGCAUUAUGCUUUCAGGCAGAAAACCAGGUAGGCAUAGGGAUUGCCCCGGGUACUUCUCUCAUCUCAUGAAUUACAGCCUUGUUAUAUAACUGUGCUGCUAAAGGCUGAGAAUGGAUGCUUCAUACAUUUUGUGAAUUUUGAUGGUUGUUUUCAGUGGUAGGGCAAACCUGACAUGCAUUAUUCUCUAUUACAACAAAGUGGGGUCUCUUAUCAAGGCCUUUUGAGUUAAAUUCCAGUUUUAAGGACAUGCUGUUUCACUGCUGGGUGGCUAAAGUGAUAGCUAAUUUUGUGUGUCAGCUUGAGUGGGGCAUGGGGUACCAUUAACCGUUAUUUCUGGAUGCAUCUGUGAGGGUGUUUCCAGAUGAAAUUAACAUAUGAAUGGUGCACUGAGUAAAGUGGGUGACCCUCCCCAGAGUGGCUGGCCACCAUCCAAUCUGUAGAGGUCCUAAACAGAGUGGGAAUUCCUUCUGAGCUGAGGCUUCAGGCCUGUCCUACCAACCCUCUGGUUCUCAGAACUACACCACUGACUUCCCGGGGACUCCAGCUUGCAGGCCCUGGAUUGGGGGAGCGCCGCAGCGUCCACAAGUGCAUGAGCAAGUUCCUUAUUAUAAAUUUCCACACAUAUUGUAUUUAUAUAUAGCCAUAUAUACAUCUCCUUUGGUCCUGUUUCUACAGAGAACCCUGACUAAUGCACAAAACCACUGUCAGGUACAGAUUAACAAACAGUCCAGGUGUGUCGUAUGUCAUACAAGGAAAUGUAAAACUUUGGUAAGAAUAUCAGUUAAGGUGAAAUGAUUAAACAGACAUGUUAAAAUGAUGGUAAGUUUUCUUAAUGAUGGAAAACACAUAAAAAAGCAACAUGAUUAAGCAUCAGUGUUGGAAUUCAAAAUAAUGAUGUCUUGCCAUUGAGAAGAGAGAGUGCUUUGAUUAUUCCUGACAGUUAACCACAAGUAUCUAGCCAGAUUAUUUAAAGAAAACCAUGAAACAGCAAAAAAGAAAAGAAAGACACCAUUAUUCCAUGACAGAGACAACCUUUAGAUGCCAGUUCCUGUGAUCUGUGUCAAGUGUGCACCAAGACCCCUGUGUGCAGUUACGUCACGUGCUAUGUCAGUGUGCGGAGAACAGCAUGGUGAGGACAAACACGGGACUGUUUGAGUCCUCGCUUAACCUGUACUGACAGGGUGAGAAAUACGAUGUAAAUGACCAUUGCACCAUUUUAAAAUGUAAACUACUGCAGUGUUAACAAUAUGAAGACCACAGAGCUUCUCAGGGCUGGGUCAUAUGGGAGAAGACUGAAAUGUAGCAAAGUCACCAAGAUCUCCAGCAAGAUGCCAACCAACUAAGUGCAUCAGAAAUGCUACUUCACUUUGGGUGAAUAUUCUGAAAAUUGAAGAUUAGGCAAGACAACACUCAUUUAAAAAUUAAAAAAGAAGAGUUGGUGAAAACAGAAGUUGAACGGCAUUGGACAGAGGCAGAGGGGCAGCUUUUGGAUGUGGAAGAGCAGGCACUGGAGCAGGAAAAGGCUCUGGAAGUAUUCUCGGGCUCUGGGGAAGCUCAUCCCUCCAUGUGGAGCCUCUCCCAGGUCAAAGGGAUAUAAGGCAGGAGGAGGACAGGAGACUUCCUGCUCUGGUCCGGGUAGGGGCCAGAGGAGAUGAAAACGUCUGCUCUAGUGUAUUUUCUGAUGGUAGUUGAAGUGGUACCAGGGAUUGUGAAUUUGGUCUAACACAGAGCCCAAGCUGCAAUCUCAAUGAGCACAAAACCCUCUGGCUUGAAACCUCACCAGAAUGUUUCCAAGUCCCGGCGUCUUGCACUCUGCUAUGUGUUUCUGUGUCCCUCUCUGGGUCAAAGCUGGCAUGUCACUUCACUGGCAUUGCAACCUACUCUUCCCUCACCGUGAGCACAUUUUCCACAGGGAAGGGGAGGUGGACUCUCAGGUGCACGUGGUUCAGAACCUUUUCAUGGAGGGAGACAGGUGGCCAGCUGGCCCCACCCCGUCUCCCUCUUUUCUCUCAGUCCUCUGGCUGUGGCUGCCUGUACUCCGGGUGACUUGCCAAUGACACCUACUGGUGCAGCUCAUCUCAAAGGCACAUACAGCAUCUCUGGAGCCCCUACAGUUGAAAUUGAUUUCCAGACUUCUGAAUAAGGGGUGCAUUGGAAAGAUUGUCAAUCGACAAGAUUAUCAAGUAGUCAGGGGCCACAAGAAGUGUCGUGUGCCUUUCCAAGAGGACUGAAUGAUCUCAAUCUCCAUAGGAAGAACUUGGAGACUUUCAAGAGUCUUGAACAACCAGUGUUGUGUGUGUGCACGUGUGCAUGCACACACUUUAAGCUUCAACCCCAAACCAGGGAGUGGCUUUGCUUGUGUUCCGUGUGGACCUAGGAAUUCACGGAUCCAUGUAGAGAGCCAUGGUUAGCAGACGUGGAAGCUGGAGACCAUGUCACACCAGGCCACCCAAGCCAUCUCACUUCUCAUUGGUGAAAUCUCUUUUGUUUCACACUUUAAAAAAUGUUUCCAUCUGAAAAUUUUGACUUUCCUUCACCAAAGACCUUCUGUGUCCUCCGCCCCCAUCAGUGUAAGUUUUCCUCAAAUACCAUUAAAGAAAAAACAAAACAAAAACCACUGUCUUGACUAGGAUCUCUCAGUGACUCAUUUCUGGUUAAAAUGUGUAGUCCAGCCUCACAGCCGGGCACUUCGCGCUCCCCUCGGAUGACGCCUCCACGUCCCCUGCCCAGGGUCGUCCCUUAGCAUGAUGCAUUCCAAGUCAGCGGUUUUCCUUUGCUGUCCCUCCUCUGAUUCUUGUCAAAUCCUCUCUUGAUUUCCCACUUCUUUCUCAAGUCCUGGCUACUACUGCUACUAGUGGACAUCUGCUGAAAGCCUGCCACAAAACUCAGUAUUGGGCAAAGUACCGUGCAGCCUCAAUCUUCCAGAGCAUCCGGUGGAGGUGUUGCUCUAUAGGCUGGGAAAACGGGGCCUCGUGAGCUAAUGUUCUCACCUGAAGACCACACAAGAAAAAGUGCAGAGCCAGAAUUCAGAAUUCAAGUUUAGGGCCGUGUCGGGCUGGAGCAGGGGCUCUUGGCCACCGUCCACUCUCCUCUCUCCUGCGGCAGGACCCGCCUGGCUCACAGCAAGGCCUGUAGGAAAGGUCUUUUCUGUGUUUUAUUCACGCUUUGUUCCUCUGUCCUUCACAAUUUAGCUCUCAAGAGGCUUCCUCAUCUAAAGCACCCCAUUCUGAUUAUUCCAUAGCCUCUGCUCCCUCUAGCAUGACAUCGGGGUUUGGUCUUGCACCCUAGCCCUGUCAUGUCAUUGUUGAUCCCUGGUUUUGUGUCUGUCAUGCCUUAUCUUUUCACCUCUACUGUGUUUUUAAAUAUCUAUAUGCUGCCUGUAUCCAUAGGUGUCCAACACUUGUCAAAUAAAUGACUUCACUUUCUAGCAUGUUCUCUAGGCUGAUACUUCCCCCCCCCACAUAUAUUAAAACACACAUAUUUCAUCUGUAUAGGCUUGCACUGAGUGGGGUGCUUCUCAGGGUAGAAUCCACAGACCCUGGGGGAUCCCUUACACCAUUUAAGCAGAGGGAAAACUCAGUGGGGGAGGAGUCAAAAUAUUUUCAGCACAUUAAAUGUCAUUGGACUUUUUUAACUGCAUUGACAAUGAUGGCACAAAUGCAAUGAUGGGAUAAAACUGCUGGCGCCGGAGUAUGGACCAAGUCACUGGUCCCAGACUGUGCUACAUGAACAAACCAACCAACCAACCAACCAGUGCCCGUCUCACUGAAGAAUGGCCUUGAUACGGCAGUAAAAGUGAUUAAUAUUUUUAAACCUUAGACCUUGAGCACACAUCCUUUCAUCAUGUGGGGAAAAGCAGGAAGGGUCCCCACGAUGCUUCUGCUGUAGGGUGCCGUGAGGGGGUGUCUGGAGGGCAAGUCGUCCUGUGAUGGAGUUGUGUGCUGAACUAGCUGCUUUUUUCAUGAAACUCUGUUUUUAACUUGAAAACAUCUGACAGACAGACUGGUUAUUCAGACCUGGGUCUUUGGCAGACAUUUUCUUUUAAAAAAUGAAUGAAGGGAGCCUGUCACUUCUAGGAAAACAACUGACAGCGUUUGCUGCCAGAGAGCUUUCAAGCAAAAAUUAGAGUUUUGGAAAACUUGUAUCCAGCACUAUGAGACUGACAGCUUCCCAAGGCUUCAAGAUGCUUCGGGUGAGGCUGAUGGUGAUAUUAAUGCACUUGAGUUUUGUUUUGCUGUUAUGUAAUGUAUGUCAACAAUUGGAAGACUUGCAUAAAUUAACGAAGUGAUAUUUUCCAAGUGAUCAAUGCACAAGGAAAAAAAUUUAUUUCAAAGUGAAGAAUAGAUGGAUGGAUUUUAAUAUAACCAGCAGGAGAAAGUUUAUCAAUGUGGUUUCAGAUUCCAUAAAACAACUAACCUCUGAGAAGCUAAACUUGUUGAGUCUUGUCAUACUAUAGACGAAUAUCCACAAUUACCAGAGAAGGCUGUAAAGUACUCUGCCCUUUUCCAACUAUAUAUCUGUGUCAUACUGCAUUUUCUUCUUAUGCAUCAACCAGAACAAAAAUCUCAGCAUAUUAAAUGCAGAAACGAAAAUGAGAAUUCAGCUAUGUUCUAUUAAACCAAAGAGUGAAGACAUUUACAAAACUAUAAACAAUGCCAUUCUUGUGACUGUAUUCUUCUCCAGAA